ACUAAGCGUACACGGUGGAUGCCCUGGCAGUCAGAGGCGAUGAAGGACGUGCUAAUCUGCGAUAAGCGUCGGUAAGGUGAUAUGAACCGUUAUAACCGGCGAUUUCCGAAUGGGGAAACCCAGUGUGAUUCGUCACACUAUCAUUAACUGAAUCCAUAGGUUAAUGAGGCGAACCGGGGGAACUGAAACAUCUAAGUACCCCGAGGAAAAGAAAUCAACCGAGAUUCCCCCAGUAGCGGCGAGCGAACGGGGAGCAGCCC
rnacentral:rRNA from 1 species